AUUCUGAUAGUUUAGUUGGUAGAACGCUAUAACCACGGAUCUAGAAGUUUUGGUUCGACUCCGAAUUAUAAUU